CAAGACUCUACUGAUGACACAUUCGGAGUUGUCAGAGAUGCUUCCCCUCCCACACUUUUGGGUACCCAUCUGAAGAGUGAUUCCUUUCAUACACCCAACACUUGAGCUUCACUAUCCAGUGUGCCGAUUUCAUAUGCGUUGCCACGUACUUUCAAAUAAGUACUUCUUUACUGCCUAGACCAGAGCCAGGUUUAUUCCAUCAAAUUCCCAGGAUAUUUUUUAAGUGGAGAAGAGUUUCCAUGUGCAAUAUAUUUUCAGUUUCAUGAGUUCAGCUUGAUGGUGCCAAUUCCAGGAAAAAUUGCCUGUUCACAAGCAGGUAUCAUUAUGGAUUCAAUGGUAAUGGCAUUCUCAGCUAUAUAAAAAGCCAGCAAAUUGUGAUUUCUGAACUGACCAACUUGGAUAAUGAACAGAACCUUCAUUCUGGCCAGGAACCUGAGACAGCCUGUGACACAGCGGAUUUUUUCAGCUUCGAGCACUGGGAACCUCCAGCAAUGCCUGUCCCACCGGCAGGAGGUGUCUGGAAUGAGUCCUGCUGACCCAGAGCAGAUGUGAGUCACAUUUGGGGCAAGGAGAAAAGAGUUGCCUUCCAUGGAAGCCAAACGACCUGAUUGUGUUUCAACCUGGGAGGCACGUGGCAAGGCAGGGCAGGUGUUGCUACUUCCACUGGUCAUUGAAAAAGGCUGGGUACAGGAGAGUCAAGCAUGCCUAAAGGCCUAUAAUGAGUAAAGAGAAGGGCCUGUAUCAUAACUGUUUGCCUGCCUCUAAAGCUCAUAUUAUUUCAAGAUGAGAAAAACAUGAGAAGGAGUUUUCAAGGUAAAAUGCAGCAUACUGAUGUGAGAUGAUAUUUGGGGAAAAAAAAAAGCAGAAACAAUUUACCAUAGAAGAUGUGUCAAACAUAAGAUAUUUGAAUAUCAGGCAUUUUUACAGUGAAAGAGCUCUUCCUAGGGUAUAUCUAAGAGAGAUCAGCAAAAAGUGCUACACUAAAGGAAUAUAAAAGUUUUCCAAUUUAAUUAUUCUUGAUUUUGUUCAUAAAUCAACACUGAAUUUCGAUAUUGUGGUGCUCACAACAUUUUGUAGUCCAGCAGCUUAGACUGUUUUUCUCUACAAUAAGAAUCAGUCCCAUGUGAUGUUAGUAUUUUUUAAUAAAAAAUGAUUUUCUCAUAAACAUGUAAAAUCACUUUUUUCAUCAAGAAAUCAAAUAUUUUUAAAAUAAAGCCUUUGGUUCAC
rnacentral:lncRNA from 10 species